GGGGACCAAGCAGAAGCACACAAACAGCUUCACCUGAUCCUGGUUCCAUCUCUUGUCUUCUCUGUCUUCAAGAAUCAGACUCACCUCCAUAACUCAGACAUGGCUUACUGCGGACCAUCCUACGCCAUUCCAUCCUGUGCCUCCUCUCCAGUUGUCGGUUUUGGGUCGGCAAGUCAUGGUUUUCACACUCAGGGAUCUGGCUUUGGAUAUGGCCCCUUAGCGGCAAGUGGGGUGCCCUCAGCUAGUCUUGGAGUGCUUUCCGGGGUCGAGCCUUCUUGCAUCAACCAGAUCCCACCUGCCGAAAUUGUGGUCCAGCCACCCGCCGUCGUCAUGACCAUCCCAGGACCCAUCCUCUCUGCCACCGGUCAACCAGUUUCUGUGGGGGGCAUCAGUCCAUGUGCUGUUAGCUAUGGUUCAUCUGUCGUUGGGGGUCCUUCUCUCAGGGGUGGUUCUCUCGGGGGUGGUCUUCUCGGGGGUGGGGCCCUUGGGGCUGGAAGUCUUGGGCACCGUUAUGGUUUUGGCGGUAGGAGCGGCGCCAUCCUUGGGCGUCGAGGCAGUAUCUGCUCACCCUGUCAUUAAAUUCUUCUGGACGGUCUUUGCAGGAAAGAUGAAAUCUGCAGAAUCCAUGGAGGAGAAGACAGGCCUGGGUUAGGGGUGCCAAGUGCCUUCGGUUUCACCUGCUAGACCUUUUCAUCCUUUUUAAAAAAAUCUAACAUUUCCCUACUUUCUCAUAUGCUGCUUUCUGCUGUCUCCAAUGAGAAGUUGUUUUUAUUGAUUGAUUUCUGCAAGGGCCUUUUACGCACUCUUCCGCAGAGUAAAGAACAAAGAGGACGAGAAGAAGGAACUCUGUUCAUGAAAUCUGCACUUAACUGGAUUGCUAAUUCCGGGUAAAGAAGGACUUUUGACGGUGAUGUAAAAUAGACCAGCAGUCUCUCUCUUCUAAAAAAAAGAUUAUUCUGGGGAAUCCGGUCACUCCUUUACGUUCCUUUUAAGCUUUGACCUGUCAAAAUUGCUUACUGGAGAACUGUUUCCACAAAUACCUCCUCCCCCCUCAUUACAAAUAAAACUUACUCUGCAUCAUAAA